GAAACGACUGCUAAGACUGGAUAGGAAAUAAAAAGGCAUCUUUUUAUUUUUAAAAGACCUUUUUCGGAAGGUAUGCUUAAAGAGGGGCUUGCGUCACAUUAGUUAGUUGGUUGGGUAAAGGCCUACCAAGACGAUGAUGUGUAGCUGGACUGAGAGGUUGAACAGCCACAUUGGGACUGAGACACGCCCAAACUCCUACGGGAGGCAGCAGUAGGGAAUUUUCGGCAAUGGAGGAAACUCUGACCGAGCAACGCCGCGUGAACGACGAAGUAUUUUGGUACGUAAAGUUCUUUUAUUAGGGAAGAAUAAAUGAUGGAAAAAUCAUUCUGACGGUACCUAAUGAAUAAGCCCCGGCUAACUAUGUGCCAGCAGCCGCGGUAAUACAUAGGGGGCAAGCGUUAUCCGGAAUUAUUGGGCGUAAAGGGUGCGUAGGCGGUUAAAUAAGUUUAUGGUCUAAGUGCAAUGCUCAACAUUGUGAUGCUAUAAAAACUGUUUAGCUAGAGUAAGAUAGAGGCAAGUGGAAUUCCAUGUGUAGUGGUAAAAUGCGUAAAUAUAUGGAGGAACACCAGAGGCGUAGGCGGCUUACUGGGUCUUUACUGACGCUGAUGCACGAAAGCGUGGGGAGCAAACAGGAUUAGAUACCCUGGUAGUCCACGCCGUAAACUAUGAGUACUAAGUGUCGGGGUUAAACUCGGUACUGAAGUUAACACAUUAAGUACUCCGCCUGAGUAGUACGAACGCAAGUAUGAAACUUAAAGGAAUUGACGGGAUCCCGCACAAGCGGUGGAUCAUGUUGUUUAAUUCGAAGAUACACGAAAAACCUUACCAGGUCUUGACAUACUCUGCAAAGCUAUAGAAAUAUAGUGGAGGUUAUCAGGGAUACAGGUGGUGCAUGGUUGUCGUCAGCUCGUGUCGUGAGAUGUUAGGUUAAGUUCUAAAACGAGCGCAACCCCUGUCGCUAAUUGCCAGCACGUUAUGGUGGGGACUUUAGCGAGACUGCCAAUGAAAAAUUGGAGGAAGGUGGGGAUUACGUCAAAUCAUCAUGCCCCUUAUGAUCUGGGCUACAAACGUGAUACAAUGGCUAUUACAAAGAGUAGCCGAAACGCGAGUUUUUGGCAAAUCUCAAAAAAAUAGUCUCAGUUCGGAUUGAAGUCUGCAACUCGACUUCAUGAAGUUGGAAUCGCUAGUAAUCGCGAAUCGGCAUGUCGCGGUGAAUACGUUCACGGGGUUUGUACACACCGCCCGUCA
rnacentral:rRNA from 2 species